AGUGAACGCUGGCGGUAGGCCUAACACAUGCAAGUCGAACGGCAGCACAGUAAGAGCUUGCUCUUACGGGUGGCGAGUGGCGGACGGGUGAGGAAUACAUCGGAAUCUACUUUUUCGUGGGGGAUAACGUAGGGAAACUUACGCUAAUACCGCAUACGACCUACGGGUGAAAGCAGGGGAUCUUCGGACCUUUCGCGAUUGAAUGAGCCGAUGUCGGAUUAGCUAGUUGGCGGGGUAAAGGCCCACCAAGGCGACGCUCCGUAGCUGGUCUGAGAGGAUGAUCAGCCACACUGGAACUGAGACACGGUCCAGACUCCUACGGGAGGCAGCAGUGGGGAAUAUUGGACAAUGGGCGCAAGCCUGAUCCAGCCAUACCGCGUGGGUGAAGAAGGCCUUCGGGUUGUAAAGCCCUUUUGUUGGGAAAGAAAAGCAGCAGGUUAAUACCCCGCUGUUCUGACGGUACCCAAAGAAUAAGCACCGGCUAACUUCGUG
rnacentral:rRNA from 1 species